AUUGAACGCUGGCGGCAUGCCUAACACAUGCAAGUCGAACGGGGUGUAGCAAUACAUCUAGUGGCGGACGGGUGAGGAAUACAUAGGAAUUUACCCUUAAGUGGGGGAGUAGUCCGGGGAACGUACGGUUUAUACCGCAUGAUCUCGUGAGAGCAAAGACAGGGGACCGGCAAGGCCUUGCGCUUUUGGUAGAAGCCUAUGUCGGAUUAGCUAGUUGGUAGGGUAAUGGCCUACCAAGGCGACGAUCCGUAACUGGUCUGAGAGGA
rnacentral:rRNA from 1 species